rnacentral:snoRNA from 1 species
AAGCCAUGGUGUGGGCAUUGAGCUUGGUAGCCCUUGAAUCUCUCCCAGGCUUCACUGAAGCCUUCCAAGUUCUUCUGUUGAAAGCUGGAGAUCUCAUUUCUCAGCUU